rnacentral:ncRNA from 1 species
UUAUUGGAGAGUUUGAUCCUGGCUCAGGACGAACGCUGGCGGCGUGCCUAAUACAUGCAAGUCGAGCGAAUCAACGGGAGCUUGCUCCCUGAGAUUAGCGGCGGACGGGUGAGUAACACGUGGGUAACCUGCCUGUAAGAUUGGGAUAACUCCGGGAAACCGGAGCUAAUACCGGAUAACAUUUUGAACCGCAUGGUUCAAAAUUGAAAGAUGGCUUUUGCUAUCACUUACAGAUGGACCCGCGGCGCAUUAGCUAGUUGGUGAGGUAACGGCUCACCAAGGCAACGAUGCGUAGCCGACCUGAGAGGGUGAUCGGCCACACUGGGACUGAGACACGGCCCAGACU